CGGAUGGAUUUGGGGAGGUUUGAGAUCGACCUAGGCGAUAGGAGAAGGACGGAUCGGCGUCCUUCGAAAAGGCCAGUCCCGCUCCGCCCCUGAGUGGAAAACUCAGCUGGAAGGCAGGCCCCGUGGAAAACCGAGGACUUGCUUGUUAAGGGCUGAGACCCGGCACUGCGCCGAUAACCCGCUCCAAAGAGGCCUAUGUAGUAUCUAGACGCGUCUCUUUAACGCUCCAAAGCCGAGCGGAGCAGCACCCGAACACACGUCCCCCUAUUUACUCCAGAGGAAUCCAGCCAUUGCUGUGAGCGUCCGGUGAAUGGGUGGGCAUGCCCGCCUUGCCUUUGUCUGUGCGCAGAGGCCAGCGGAGGGAAACGGGAGCCGGGCUGUCUUCGAUCCCCCUCCCCCGCGUCCCCCGACGACGCAGGAGGACGUGGGGAGUCGUUAGAUGGUUUCUGCUUGGAACUGCUGCUGCAGCGAGGGUUCCUCAUCAUAAUCCCCGAGCAGGUCGUGCGAGAUGUUCGCCGGAGGGAUGACAUUCCCUGCUCCCAGGGGCGGGUCAUUUGCCUCCAGACACAACAAACUCCAGAAACAGGCAAACACGGCCGAGUUUUGACAGGCUCGAGGAAGCAAAACAAAACGAGAGAGAGGUCGACUCAGAUCUGUUUAUUUAGGGGAAAGAAAGGAAGGAAAAAGAGCGCUGGACCCUCCAUUCUCAUCGAAAGACCCACCGGCGGUCAGAAAACCCUGGCUGAUCUGCCCCCCUUUUUCUGUCUUUCCUGCCAGGGCGAACCCCCAUCCACGGCAGCAGAAACUUUGUAGAAACGACAACAACAACAGCAAAAGCAAAAUAGUCUCCAAUAUGCAGGGAAUAAAGCUACUGGUUUGGUU